GACAGUAUGGUGUAGUGGUUUGAGCUUUGGACUACAACUCUGGAGACCAGGGUUUGACUCCCUGUUCAAGCU